CCUACGGGUGGCAGCAGUGGGGGAUAUUGGACAAUGGGGGGAACCCUGAUCCAGCGACGCCGCGUGAGUGAAGAAGUAUUUCGGUAUGUAAAGCUCUGUCAGCAGGGAAGAAAGAAAUGACGGUACCUGAACAAGAAGCCCCGGCUAACUACGGGCCAGCAGCCGCGGGAAUACGUAGGGGGCAAGCGUUAUCCGGAAUUACUGGGUGGAAGGGGAGCGUAGACGGUUAAGUAAGUCUGGAGUGAAAGGCCGGGGCCCAACCCCGGGACUGCUCUGGAAACUAUUGAACUUGAGUGCAGGAGAGGUAAGCGGAAUUCCUAGUGUAGCGGUGAAAUGCGUAGAUAUUAGGAGGAACACCAGUGGCGAAGGCGGCUUACUGGACUGUAACUGACGUUGAGGCUCGAAAGCGUGGGGAGCAAACAGGAUUAGAUACCCUGGUAGUC
rnacentral:rRNA from 1 species